GAAACAAAGACCCAGGAAGACUAACAUCACAGGAGACACAGCUAUCAAGAGGCAACAUUAUGGCUGAAGCUGGGGGUGGCUCAACUCUCAACACCGUUACACACCACCAACCUGUCUGGCCUUGCUGGGGCUGAGAGCAUCUCUGCUGGGCUGAGAGCAUCUCUGCUGGGCUGAGAGCUCCACAGUGACCUGGAAAGAAGCUGAUGUGGAAAUGAAGUUCAAAGCACCAAGUAACCAGCUUAAGCUGAAGAGAACCCAGGCCUCAUUGUCUGCCCAAUGGACAAAAGGGAGACGUAAAUAAACUUUUCAUUUCCCUUCCUGUUCAUUUAAUAUUGGUAAAUGUAACUUUCACACUGAACCAGAGACUUAGAAGUCAAUAAAUAUAAUUUACAAAGGUAAUCAUAGUGGAAAGGACUAUAAAACACUAACCUUUGAAGUUUAAUAUUUAUUAAGAAAACAAAAUCUACUUUGUGAGUCAAAAUGUAAUAGUUGGGCUAUAAUUCUUUUUUAGCUUGCCAAUAUGUCAUAUAGAGAGAGGACAUUUAGUUUUAGCGAUUUGUGAAGUUGCUUCUUCUUCCAUUAUGUUUGUGAGGUCCGUGCCCGCUCACAGGUCCUGCUGCAGCCCUUUCAUUUGCAUUGUUUAUAAUAUUCCAUUGUACGAGUGUAUCACAAUUCCUUCACUCCCUCCUCUGUGUUAGCCAUUGGCUUCUUUUCAGUUUGGAUCUGCAUAAUAUAGUGAAAGGAAACAGAAAGAUAAAGCAGAAGUAGUGAAGUUAGUUUCCCAGGCAGUAGGUAGGAGGUGUCUACAGGUGAAAGAAAGAUUUCUCUCACACCUUUUUAAACGUUUUUUUUUGUUUUUUUUUUUGCUUUUGAACCAUGUUAAUAUGUUACAUAGUCAAGCAAUAAAAGUAAUUUUAAAAAAUAAUAAAAUGUUAUAUCAACGGAAACAACUGAACCUAACUGCAUCAAUUUUUAAUACUCAGAAGAAAACUACUAAUGCAAAUAACUUUUAAACCAGUAUUCUGACUGUAUGCUCACUGGCGAUGUAUGCUAAGGAGAAAAAGAACUACAGCAAAAUACCCAUUGGUGUUUUGAUUGAGUGACAUGGCACUGAAUUUAUACACCUAUUUGAGGAGGCAUCUUUAAAAUAUCGUCUCCCUACAUAAAACCGCAGCAUAUCUAUUUAUUGAUGAUGUUUAAUAAAGUCUUAUAAUUUUGUCUUUAUGUGAGGCACACAUUUUAUUAGACUUAUGCAUGGCUAUUCAUACCUUUGGUGCUACUGUAAAUAGCAUCUUUUCUAUACAUUUUGUAUUUAUUACCAGCAUAUAGAAAUGCAAGAUAUUUUUGUACAUUGAUUAUCAAAAGUUUUCCAAACUGUCUUAUUCAUUCUAUUAAUUCUGUUAAUUUAUUUGCAGAUUAUUUGGGGUGCUCUGUUCAUAGUCAUAUUUCUGAUUUUUAUACCUUGUCUUCCUUCUUCCUCCGCUGCACUGACUAACUAGAACUCCCAGCGUGGUGUUCACAGCUAGUAAAUGAUAGUGGGCAUUCUGACCUGGUCCCUGAUCUCAGUGGGGAUGCUUUACCAUUAAAUGUGAUGUUUAUUUUGUGUGCCCUUUAUCACAUUAAG